UUUCCCCCCCCUCGCAGCACACCUCCCUUCCGGCCCGCACGGCGCCUGCGCUCCUGCGCCGCCAUGCCGGAGGGGAAGGCCGCGUUCCGGGAGGUUCUGCCCAAGCAAGGGCAGCUGUCGGUGGAGGACGCUCCCGCCAUGGUGCUGUGCAAGCCGAAGGUGCUGCCCCUCAAGUCGGUGACGCUGGAGAAGCUGGAGAAGCUGCAGCGCGCGGCGCUGGAGGCGCUGGAAGCGGCGGAGGCGGCGCCGGCCGAGGGGGCAGCGCGGUCCCGGCCCUAGCGCCGCGCUCAGGUUUUUUGGUUUUUGUUUUCCACUGUAGCUCAGAGUUUCCCACUGUGACCUGCAUGGAUCGUUGUGACACCUCUAUCUUCCACCCCAGUACUGCACUGAUCUCUACCAAGCAAAUCAGCAAAACAGAGGCAAAGCAGGCCUCCAUCCUCUGGAGAGCACGCAGGCUCUGUACUGCCUGGGACUCAACGGAGGCUUCUUUUUUCCAGUACUUUAUCCCAGCCUCCACAUAUUCUGCAGAGAAGUACUGCUCAGAAUGAAUUUGUACUUGUUCCAGUACAUGACAAGUACUGUACAUGUAUCAGUGCCAGAGUGUUUGUAUGGGAUAUAGGACAACCACGGAGAGUCUGCAAGGGACACCCAGUACCUAAAGAAGUAAUGACAGAAGACUUCCAGAGAGAUUUCAACAAAUCCAGCAUCAUUUUAAAGGUCUUUUCUCCAGUUGACUCCAAAACCAUUACAACAGCCUAAAACAAAUCACGCAAGUAUUUUAACUAAAAAGAAAACGGUGGCUCAAGUACAAGUGUUCAAGUACAAGUUGUAUAAGCGUAUGUGGAUGCAUUAUGCAUCUUCUGGAGGGACAAGUCCAUUUGUAACAUGCACUCACCAUUUCAAUACGUGAUUAUUUGAAAAAGAAACACAGAUUAAAAGUUAUUUGAAUAAAGAGAAAAGAGAUUAAAAAAACAUGGGCAGAAUGAAAAGCAUUGUCUUUCUGGCUCUGGUUUGAGAGAUACACAUGACAACACCCAUAUGGUUUCUGCAGUACAGAUGGCAAUUAAUUUUUGUGACAUUAAUUCUGUAUCUGAUAUUUUUGAAUCUGUGAUUUUACAAGAACUUAGAAGUUUAGAAUCUACAAAUCACCACACACCUCAUCAACUAAAAAGAUUCUACUUUUCUAUUGUGAAGGAAUUGUCUAAAAGGACUGAAUUUUACUGAAACCAGAAUUUUUUAGAUUGUUGGCGUUCAGCUUUAAUGGUAAACAACUGUUUCCCAGUUUGGCAGAUAACAGUACAAUUGGGAACAGUCUCCCAGAUACAGGAAAGAUCAUCUUUCUCUCAUAUAACCUGGUUCUGAAGAGCUUUUAUAAAUGUGCAAGAUGGAACAAGCCCACCCUGAAAAGGAAGCUCUAUAACUUAACAAAAACAGGUAACACCCACAGAAUACACAGAUAUCUGAAACUAAAAGGAAAUAAAAACCCUAACAAAGCAUAGGAUUUUGGUGCUGUGCCUCAGCAGAAAAAUAAACUGAGCUCUUCUUUUUCAGGAGCCUGUAAUAAUCUGAAUUCAACCAUUUACCCAACAAAGUAAUUCUGGAUCUUUCCAGAGUUUGUGCAACACACAAGCUACUGCAAUGUGUACACAAAUGAGCAUACAAACCAUUACAUUAAUUUACAUGAAAUUAUUUAGUUAUUCAAAUAGUAUCAGAACUUGCAACAUGAGAUUCAGAUUCCAGUUACAUUAUUUGCAUGCCCACAUCAAAUCAAACCCAAACCUGCUGGUAUUACUGACAGUUUCUAAAGGGACUCUGAUUUCU